AGAGGAAUAGCUGGGUCAAAUGGUGGUUCCAUUCUAAGUUGUCCAAGGAAUCUCCAUACUGCUUUCCAGAUUGGCUGCACCAAUUUACAGUCCCACCAGCAAU
rnacentral:pre_miRNA from 1 species